AAACCAACAGGGAUUGCCUCAGUAACGGCGAGUGAAGCGGCAAAAGCUCAAAUUUGAAAUCCUUCGGGAAUUGUAAUUUGAAGGUGGUGUUAGUGAGAAAAAGCAUUCUUAAGUCCAUUGGAAAAUGGCGCCAUGGAGGGUGAUAGCCCCGUAAAGAAGCCGCUUUCUCUCUUUUCUUUCACCGCCAAAGAGUCGAGUUGUUUGGGAAUGCAGCUCUAAGUGGGUGGUAAAUUCCAUCUAAAGCUAAAUAUUGGCGAGAGACCGAUAGCGAACAAGUACAGUGAUGGAAAGAUGAAAAGCACUUUGAAAAGAGAGUGAAAAAGUACGUGAAAUUGUUGAAAGGGAAGGGCUUGCAAGCAGACACAACCUCGGUUGGGCCAGCAUCGGGGCGAGGGGAGACAAAAAAGGGCAGGAAUGUAACUCAUUGAGCAUUAUAGCCUGCCCCUCCAUCUCCAUCUCAUCCCGAGGCCUGCGGUAUCUAGGAUGCUGGCGUAAUGGUUGCAAGUCGC
rnacentral:rRNA from 1 species